UGGGGAAUCUUAGACAAUGGGCGCAAGCCUGAUCUAGCCAUGCCGCGUGAGUGAUGAAGGCCCUAGGGUCGUAAAGCUCUUUCGCCUGUGAAGAUAAUGACGGUAGCAGGUAAAGAAACCCCGGCUAACUCCGUGCCAGCAGCCGCGGUAAUACGGAGGGGGUUAGCGUUGUUCGGAAUUACUGGGCGUAAAGCGCGCGUAGGCGGAUCGGAAAGUUGGGGGUGAAAUCCCGGGGCUCAACCCCGGAACUGCCUCCAAAACUACUGGUCUUGAGUUCGAGAGAGGUGAGUGGAAUUCCGAGUGUAGAGGUGAAAUUCGUAGAUAUUCGGAGGAACACCAGUGGCGAAGGCGGCUCACUGGCUCGAUACUGACGCUGAGGUGCGAAAGUGUGGGGAGCAAACA
rnacentral:rRNA from 1 species